UACGAAGGGGCUAGCGUUGCUCGGAAUUACUGGGCGUAAAGCGCACGUAGGCGGCUUCUAAGUCGGGGGUGAAAUCCUGGAGCUCAACUCCAGAACUGCCUUCGAUACUGGAGAGCUUGAGUCCGGGAGAGGUGAGUGGAACUGCGAGUGUAGAGGUGAAAUUCGUAGAUAUUCGCAAGAACACCAGUGGCGAAAGGCGGCUCACUGGCCCGGUACUGACGCUGAGGUGCGAAAGCGUGGGAGCAAACAGGAUUGAGAUACCCGG
rnacentral:rRNA from 1 species